rnacentral:rRNA from 1 species
AACGAACGCUGGCGGCAUGCCUAACACAUGCAAGUCGAACGAGACCUUCGGGUCUAGUGGCGCACGGGUGCGUAACGCGUGGGAACCUGCCCUUAGGUUCGGAAUAACUCCCCGAAAGGGGUGCUAAUACCGGAUAAUGUCUUCGGACCAAAGAUUUAUCGCCUUUGGUUGGGCCCGCGUUGGAUUAGCUAGUUGGUAGGGUAAAAGCCUACCAAGGCGACGAUCCAUAGCUGGUCUGAGAGGAUGAUCAGCCACACUGGGACUGAGACACGGCCCAGAAUCCUACGGGAGGGAGCAGUGGGGAAUAUAGGACAAUGGGCGAAAGCCUGAUCCAGCAAUGCCGGGUAAGUGAUGAAGGCCUUAGGGUUGUAAAGCUCUUUUACCCGGGAUGAUAAUGACAGUACCGGGAGAAUAAGCUCCGGCUAACUACGUG